rnacentral:rRNA from 1 species
UACGAGGGGGGCGAGCGUUGUUCGGAAUUAUUGGGCGUAAAGGGUGCGUAGGCGGUUUGGUAAGUCUUAUGUGAAAUCUACAGGCUCAACUUGUAGUCUGCAUGAGAAACUGCCGGGCUUGAGUGUGGGAGAGGUGAGUGGAAUUCCUGGUGUAGCGGUGAAAUGCGUAGAUAUCAGGAGGAACACCGGUGGCGAAGGCGGCAUCCUGGACCAAUUCUGACGCUGAGGAGCGAAAGCCAGGGGAGCAAACGGG